rfam:Caldibacillus debilis strain B4135 NODE_137, whole genome shotgun sequence.
UGGAAAAAGAAGAGGCACCCGCUUCUCACCUGGAUGACGCGUUUCAGCUGUUAACAGGUUCGCAUGACGUUGGAUGAUUAGGGAUCGAGUGUGUGGGUGUUCGUGCCUGCACUUUUUUUAUGGG